CUGCCAUGGUCAGACGUGGAUAAACUUGUGUACGGGCAAGGUGUGCUGCCGUGUAGAAAGGUCUAUUCUGUAAAAAGUAUUUGAUUUAUCGCAUAAUUAUUGCAAGUGAAAUUGCCAUUUGUAGCGGCUUUAUUAGUGUACGCCACUAUUAAUUGAUUUUGUUGUCAUUGGUUAUUAUUACCAUGAAUUCUGGCCGCCGAUUAUUAUCCAACGACGACUAAUGUUACUACAAAGAGUGCGAACUUUGGCUAGUGUCGCCUUUAUUUUUGUGUACGGUACCUAUUGAGUCCGCCUAAGGUUGGCUUAUAUGAAUAUUAGCCUUAACUUUUCGGUUUAUUGUAUGGAGCAAGGAGUAACGAGUUCUUGAACAAGAUUCAUUAAAAUCAGCUGUAAUUGCAAAAUCGAUAGAAAUAAUAUUUAUAAUUAUUUCAAUAAGUAAUAAAAAUCUUUGUUUUAAAAAAUAAAUAACAAGUAUGCCACCAAGUGCAACAGAGAUAGUACCGUUUAUCCAGUUGAGUGCGAAUAGAGAAACAAAUGAAAACGCUUCUUAAAGAAAUUAGAAGAAGUAGUUCAGUUAGAUGAAACAAAAUUGAAAACUGCGGAUGAAAAAAUCGAAGAUUUUAAAUGUAAAAAACGGAGUCUAGAAGCUGAAGUUGAAACCUAUCAGUCCUUAUGUGAUAAUAUUAAGACGACAAACCGUAAUGUUCAUCAACAAGUUUUCAAAGGCAGAGGACAUUAUAGUGGACGUUAACUAAUAAAUCUUAAAUAAUUAUAUGUACUUAAAAAAAGAUAAAUAAAUAUAAAGUAUAAUUUU